GUGGUCACUUCAGCAGCACAUAUACUAAAAUUGGAAUGGUACAGAGAUUAGCAUGGCCCCUGUAAAAAUAAUUAUACUAUAAUUAGCUGCAUUCACAAAUGUAAU